AAUGCUGGCGGCAUGCCUAAUACAUGCAAGUCGAGCGGCAGCGAGGGUCUCAUCCUGUUCUUGAAGUUUCGAGAAUAGAAUGAGAUCUGUCGGCGAGCGGCGGACGGCUGAGUAACGCGUGGGAACGGACCCCAAACUGAGGGAUAACUAGUCGAAAGAUUAGCUAAUACCGCAUGUGAUCUUCGGGUUAAAGCUUUCGAGCGGUUUGGGACUGGCCUGCGUACGAUUAGAUAGUUGGUGAGGUAAUGGCUCACCAAGUCGACGAUCGUUAGAUGGUUUGAGAGGAUGAUCAUCCAGACUGGGACUGAGACACGGCCCAGACUCCUACGGGAGGCAGCAGUAGGGAAUUUUCGGCAAUGGGGGAAACCCUGACCGAGCAACGCCGCGUGAAUGAAGACGUAAUUUCGGUAUGUAAAGUUCUUUUAUUAAGGAAGAAUAUCACGGAUAGGAAAUGAUCUGUGAGUGACGGUACUUAAUGAAUAAGCCCCGGCUAACUAUGUGCCAGCAGCAGC
rnacentral:rRNA from 1 species